rnacentral:rRNA from 1 species
UAAGCAUAUCAAUAAGCGGAGGAAAAGAAACCAACAGGGAUUGCCCUAGUAACGGCGAGUGAAGCGGCAACAGCUCAAAUUUGAAAUCUGGCCCUUGUGGUCCGAGUUGUAAUUUGUAGAGGAUGCUUUUGGUUAGGUGCCUUCCGAGUUCCCUGGAACGGGACGCCAUAGAGGGUGAGAGCCCCGUCUGGUUGGAUACCGAGCCUCUGUAAAGCUCCUUCGACGAGUCGAGUAGUUUGGGAAUGCUGCUCUAAAUGGGAGGUAUAUGUCUUCUAAAGCUAAAUACCGGCCAGAGACCGAUAGCGCACAAGUAGAGUGAUCGAAAGAUGAAAAGCACUUUGAAAAGAGGGUUAAAAAGUACGUGAAAUUGUUGAAAGGGAAGCGCUUGUGACCAGACUUGGGCCCGGUCAAUCAUCCAGGGUUCUCCCUGGUGCACUUGGCCGGCCCAGGCCAGCAUCAGUUUGUCGCGGGGGAUAAAGGCGUCGGGAAUGUGGCUCCCCCGGGAGUGUUAUAGCCCUUCGUGUAAUACCCUGCUUCGGACUGAGGUUCGCGCAUCUGCAAGGAUGCUGGCGUAAUGGUCAUCAGCGACCCGUCUUGAAACACGGACCAAGGAGUCGUCUUCGUAUGCGAGUGUUCGGGUGUCAAACCCCUACGCGUAAUGAAAGUGAACGCAGGUGAGAGCUUCGGCGCAUCAUCGACCGAUCCUGAUGUUCUCGGAUGGAUUUGAGUAAGAGCAUACGGGGCCGGACCCGAAAGAAGGUGAACUAUGCCUGUAUAGGGUGAAGCCAGAGGAAACUCUGGUGGAGGCUCGCAGCGGUUCUGACGUGCAAAUCGAUCGUCAAAUAUGGGCAUGGGGGCGAAAGACUAAUCGAACCUUCUAGUAGCUGGUUUCCGCCGAAG